rnacentral:rRNA from 1 species
CCCCAGUAAACGGCGGCCGUAACUAUAACGGUCCUAAGGUAGCGAAAUUCCUUGUCGGGUAAGUUCCGACCCGCACGAAAGGCGUAACGAUUUGGGCACUGUCUCAACAACAGACUCGGUGAAAUUGUAAUUCCGGUGAAGAUGCCGGAUACCUGCGACAGGACGGAAAGACCCCAUGGAGCUUUACUGUAGCUUGACAUUGGGUCUUGGUACUACAUGUACAGGAUAGGUGGGAGGCUUUGAAACCAGGACGCCAGUUUUGGCGGAGCCAUCCUUGGGAUACCACCCUUGUAGUACUGGGACUCUAACCAUAGGCCAUGAAUCUGGUCUUGGGACACUGUCAGGUGGGCAGUUUGACUGGGGCGGUCGCCUCCCAAAAGGUAACGGAGGCGCUCAAAGGUUCUCUCAGUACGGUCGGAAAUCGUACGUAGAGUGUAAAGGCAAAAGAGAGCUUGAUUGCAAGACAUACAGGUCGAGCAAGGAUGAAAAUCGGACUUAGUGAUCCGGUGGUUCUGCGUGGAAGGGCCAUCGCUCAACGGAUAAAAGCUACCCUGGGGAUAACAGGCUUAUCUCCCCCAAGAGUCCACAUCGACGGGGAGGUUUGGCACCUCGAUGUCGGCUCAUCACAUCCUGGGGCUGUAGUAGGUCCCAAGGGUUGGGCUGUUCGCCCAUUAAAGUGGUACGCGAGCUGGGUUCAGAACGUCGUGAGACAGUUCGGUCCCUAUCCGUCGCAGGCGUAGGAAAUUUGAGAAGACCUGUCCUUAGUACGAGAGGACCGGGAUGGACG